rnacentral:piRNA from 1 species
UUAACAUAACAAAGCGGAAGCUGGCGGCC